CCUACUCCACAAGGUCACACAAACGACUGCUGGGCUGGAUCCACCCAAGUGGCAGAGCUCCCGAGCCAAAUGCAGGCCGCCCGCCUGCCCCACGUCCUGCACUCCACCUUUACGGCUGCACAUCACACUUACACUUUCUGCAAAGUGCUCUAAUUAAGGACACUCGGACUUUAAGACUGUGAGGUCCCACGGCCAAAGUCAAACUGUCAGCCGCACUGCUCAUCCUUCUGGAAACUCUGCGGACUCACCCGUGCUCCUGCCCAUCCAGGUCUGCAGAAUCUGCUCCCCGAGUCCAGGGGCCAAGUGCAGCCCGGUGCACCGAGCUACUGAGAGCAGAGCGACUUCUUUCCCCCGCUGCCUCUGCCACUUUUAAGGGCCCAGCCCUUGGGCUCCUCACCCUACCUCAAGUCAGUGGCAUUCAAUGCUGUAAAGACAACGGGGUGUCGAUGAAGAAUAAAGUGGCUGAAAAGUUUGCAAAUGAAAUGGCAAAAGAUUGACGUAGCUGUCCUGUCCACAGGAUGACAUUUACCUGGGCUGCACGAACCGUGUUCCCUGCUGGCUUUCAAUUUGGGGAUGUGUCAUCACAAAUAUACAGUAAACUUGACAUAGGAAUCACAUGA